UCCUGGUGCAUAUUCUUUUGAACCUCAAUAGUUGAGAUUUUACCAGACCAGCAAAGGUAUGGCGUGGGUGGUGACUGGACCUGAACAACAGCGCAUGCGUGUCGGUUUUUUUGAAAAAAACUUUGACAUCCAGUCUGUGUGUUGAGGAGAAGUCAUCCCCUUUGAAGGUCGUCGUGUCCAGGAAGUCAAUUGAGUCCUGAUUAAUGGUUGAAGUUAAUUUUAUGGAGUCCCUCUGCCCAUUUAAGGUCUCACUCUCACAAUCAGAGACAAUUGGGCGCCCCGGGGGGAUGCAGUAAGGGAGGCUCCAAGACUCUCUUUUUUUGUGGAUUUUGGGCAAAAGGUAAAAUCUUCGCAUUCUGGGUUCUUUAUUUCCCUGGAGAUAAUCCUUCCUGUCCAUGAGGACCACUG